rnacentral:rRNA from 1 species
UACGGAGGGUGCGAGCGUUGUCCGGAUUUAUUGGGUUUAAAGGGUGCGUAGGUGGCUUUAUAAGUCAGUGGUGAAAUACAGCCGCUCAACGGUUGAGGUGCCAUUGAUACUGCAAAGCUUGAAAUAAUUGGAGGCUGCCGGAAUGGAUGGUGUAGCGGUGAAAUGCAUAGAUAUCAUCCAGAACACCGAUUGCGAAGGCAGGUGGCUACGAUUUGUUUGACACUGAGGCACGAAAGCAUGGGGAGCAAACAGG